rnacentral:rRNA from 1 species
UACAGAGGUCUCAAGCGUUGUUCGGAUUCAUUGGGCGUAAAGGGCGCGUAGGUGGCAUGGUAAGUCGGAUGUGAAAUCCCGGGGCUCAACCCCGGAACUGCAUUCGAUACUGCUGCGCUAGAGUACUGGAGAGGAGAGUGGAAUUUACGGUGUAGCAGUGAAAUGCGUAGAUAUCGUAAGGAAGACCAGUGGCGAAGGCGGAUCUCUGGACAGUGACUGACGCUGAGGCACGAAGGCCAGGGGAGCAAACGGG